GACGAACGCUGGCGGCGUGCUUAACACAUGCCAGUCGAACGGAAAGGCCCUGCUUUUGUGGGGUGCUCGAGUGGCGAACGGGUGAGUAACACGUGAGUAACCUGCCCUUGACUUUGGGAUAACUUCAGGAAACUGGGGCUAAUACCGGAUAGGAGCUCCUGCUGCAUGGUGGGGGUUGGAAAGUUUCGGCGGUUGGGGAUGGACUCGCGGCUUAUCAGCUUGUUGGUGGGGUAGUGGCUUACCAAGGCUUUGACGGGUAGCCGGCCUGAGAGGGUGACCGGCUACAUUGGGACUGAGAUACGGCCCAGACUCCUACGGGAGGCAGCAGUGGGGAAUAUUGCACAAUGGGCGGAAGCCUGAUGCAGCAACGCCGCGUGCGGGAUGACGGCCUUCGGGUUGUAAACCGCUUUCGCCUGUGACGAAGCGUGAGUGACGGUAAUGGGUAAAGAAGCACCGGCUAACUACGUG
rnacentral:rRNA from 1 species